GACGAACGCUGGCGGCGCGCUUAACACAUGCAAGUCGAGCGAUGAAAUCUUGACAGAACCCUUCGGGGUGAAGAUAAGAUGGAUUAGCGGCGGACGGGUGAGUAACACGUGAGUAACCUGCCUUAGACAUUGGGAUAGCCUCGGGAAACCGGGAUUAAUACCAAAUGAAAUCACAUAUGCACAUGCAUAAAUGAUCAAAGCUCCGGCGGUCUAAGAUGGACUCGCGUCCCAUUAGCUAGUUGGUGAGGUAACGGCCCACCAAGGCGACGAUGGGUAGCCGGCCUGAGAGGGUGAACGGCCACAUUGGAACUGAGAAACGGUCCAAACUCCUACGGGAGGCAGCAGUGGGGAAUAUUGCACAAUGGAGGGAACUCUGAUGCAGCGACGCCGCGUGAACGAAGAAGGCUUUCGAGUCGUAAAGUUCUUUUAUGUGGGAAGAUAAUGACGGUACCAUAAGAAAAAGCCCCGGCUAACUACGUGCCAGCAGCCGCGGUAAUACGUAGGGGGCUAGCGUUGUCCGGAAUCACUGGGCGUAAAGGGUUCGCAGGCGGAAAUGCAAGUCAGGUGUAAAAGGCAGUAGCUUAACUACUGUAAGCAUUUGAAACUGCAUAUCUUGAGAAGAGUAGAGGUAAGUGGAAUUUUUAGUGUAGCGGUGAAAUGCGUAGAUAUUAAAAAGAAUACCGGUGGCGAAGGCGACUUACUGGGCUCAUUCUGACGCUGAGGAACGAAAGCGUGGGUAGCAAACAGGAUUAGAUACCCUGGUAGUCCACGCUGUAAACGAUGAGUGCUAGGUAUCGGAAAAAUUCGGUGCCGCAGUUAACACAUUAAGCACUCAGCGUGGGGAGUACGUGCGCAAGCAUG
rnacentral:rRNA from 1 species